rnacentral:rRNA from 1 species
AACGAACGCUGGCGGCAGGCUUAACACAUGCAAGUCGAACGGUUGUAGCAAUACAGCAGUGGCAGACGGGUGAGUAACACGUGGGAACCUUCCUAGGGGUACGGAACAACUCAGGGAAACUUGAGCUAAUACCGUAUACGUCCGUGAGGAGAAAGAUUUAUCGCCCCUAGACGGCCCGGCCGUAGGAUUAGGUAGUUGGU